CCCCCACCAAAAAAAGUCCCACUUCGGAUGGAAACAAAUUAUUCGGUCUCCUUAUCAAUCACCAUUUGUAUGCAGAUGACUCCUGAAUUGUGGCCAAGCGCAGCAGCUCGGAGGGGGCCCCGGAGUCAGCCCCCUGGGUUUACAUCCGGUUGCACUGCUUGCUCGCCUCUGCGACCCCGGGCAGCUUAAGUAAAAUUUUUUUGCACUUCAGAGCCCUCAUCAACAAAACGAGAACAAUAUUAUGAAUUGAGGGUUACUUGAACAAAGCCAUUAGCGUGAGGUCUGCCGCAUUUUUAAGUGCUCAACGAAUUUAGCCAGCCCAAACUUUUCUCCGGAGUUCCAGACCUAUUCAGACGCCCAUUUAUCCUACCAUCAAACUGGGGCUGAAUUCCUGAGAUAAUUCUCUUGCGACCUUUGGACAAUCUUCCUAAAGAGACCCAGCUGAGAACCUAGAAGGGAUAAAAGUCCCUUUGACAUUUGAGCAAAGUCCAGAGGGAGGUGGUGGAAGCACCAUAUAGGAGUCUGGGGGAAGGAAGCUCUGAACAGAGAGAACAAUGAAGAGGAACAUUGUUAUUUUUCUUAUCUCCUUGGAACGGAGUGCUUCAAGCAGGCCAGAAAUCAACCUACGAAAAAUGUACUUAGAAUAUACUCAUUUCAGCAAACUGCUGUGUGUUUAUGUUCAAAUCUAUGAGUGGCUACCUUAAAAAAGCAUCAUCUUUGGCAAAUCACAAAACAGUGUGUGUUUCCUUUGUAUUACUUCAAACAGUCUGCACAUUCUUGAUAAUUUCCUUUCAAAGCACUUGCUUUUAGCCCUUUCAAACACACAUGAAUAAUUUGUUUCUAUUGAGGUACGAAGUCUUCUCCGAUAGUAAACUAAGAAUCUUGAGACUGGAUUAAAACCUGUCGUGAGUUUAAUUUAGUGCCUGAAUUCAGUUCUGCACUGAGUCCGUACACGCACACUUCUGUGUUGUUGAGGAGUGAGGCUGGAGUUAAAGAGUUUGGGAAGUUAGAGGUUGAGAAGAGCCAAAUUAGUGGUUUCACUGGGAUGGAUGGAAUGAGAGGUGACUUUAUAGAAGAGCCCAUUAUGUCGGGACGUUUUAAAAUUUUCUAUAGACUUUCUUAGAAUUCGUGUGUUUUAUGCAGUUUCUCUCUUCUGCUCUAUAAGCACUAUAGCUUAGUGGUUCAGAACAUGGCCUUUGC